AAGGUGAUGAGCACUCUCGAACCUGACGGGCAGGAUGAUGAGCGGAUUCCUGGCUGAU
rnacentral:snoRNA from 19 species